rnacentral:lncRNA from 1 species
AUCGUGUAUACCUGAAUCUGAACUGUUCUGUACCAUUGAAUAUGUGUAUGCUUUCAAUGGUAAUACUCUUUUUCAUUUUAAUUACAAAAUACUUCAUAUAGAACAGAAGAAAGUAAAAAUGUAUCAUAAAAUAAAUAUGGAUGAUAACACUUAUAAUUAUUAAUUUACAUUGAGAAGGUAAUGCUAUCAGUUGUCUUUUCCAAAAGUGUGUUGGCUUUUAUCACCUUAUUAUUUAUUUAUGGAUCACUUUCUUUUCAUUUCUAAGAAAAUACUAUACUGGAUUUUCUACUGAACAUAAAGAAACCAGAAGUACUUUCCACAUUUCUAGUAAUCAGUGUUGACUACAAUAUGAAUAAAUAUAGAGACAGAUUUAAAAUUAGUUACAAGAAUGGGAGCCUCGAGGGGGUAGUUUCAAUAAUCUCUAUCAACAGAGGUAAAACUAUGCAGAGGAAAAGUGGAAGGGAAGGUAAAGAUAGACUAAGAGUGAUAACAGAGACAAUUAUAAAAACUGAAUAUCUACUCACCUCUGUGAGUCCACAUGAGAAAUCAUGUGGUCCAAAAGUAAAUGUGAGUAAAAUUUUAGCCUUUUAAAAAUGAAUUAGGAAUAUAUUCUACUUAAGAACUGGAAGAAAUUGCCAUAAAACAUUUAGUUAUG